rnacentral:rRNA from 1 species
AGAGUUUGAUCCUGGCUCAGAUUGAACGCUGGCGGCAGGCCUAACACAUGCAAGUCGAGCGGUAACAGAUCUAGCUUGCUAGAUGCUGACGAGCGGCGGACGGGUGAGUAAUGCAUAGGAAUCUGCCCUGUAGUGGGGGAUAACCUGGGGAAACCCAGGCUAAUACCGCAUACGUCCUACGGGAGAAAGGGGGCUUCGGCUCCCGCUGCGGGAUGAGCCUAUGUCGGAUUAGCUAGUUGGUGAGGUAACGGCUCACCAAGGCGACGAUCCGUAGCUGGUCUGAGAGGAUGAUCAGCCACAUCGGGACUGAGACACGGCCCGAACUCCUACGGGAGGCAGCAGUGGGGAAUAUUGGACAAUGGGGGGAACCCUGAUCCAGCCAUGCCGCGUGUGUGAAGAAGGCCUUCGGGUUGUAAAGCACUUUCAGCGAGGAAGAACGCCUAGUGGUUAAUACCCAUUAGGAAAGACAUCACUCGCAGAAGAAGCACCGGCUAACUCCGUGCCAGCAGCCGCGGUAAUACGGAGGGUGCAAGCGUUAAUCGGAAUUACUGGGCGUAAAGCGCGCGUAGGUGGCUUGAUAAGCCGGUUGUGAAAGCCCCGGGCUCAACCUGGGAACGGCAUCCGGAACUGUCAGGCUAGAGUGCAGGAGAGGAAGGUAGAAUUCCCGGUGUAGCGGUGAAAUGCGUAGAGAUCGGGAGGAAUACCAGUGGCGAAGGCGGCCUUCUGGACUGACACUGACACUGAGGUGCGAAAGCGUGGGUAGCAAACAGGAUUAGAUACCCUGGUAGUCCACGCCGUAAACGAUGUCGACCAGCCGUUGGGUGCCUAGAGCACUUUGUGGCGAAGUUAACGCGAUAAGUCGACCGCCCGGGGAGUACGGCCGCAAGGUUAAAACUCAAAUGAAUUGACGGGGGCCCGCACAAGCGGUGGAGCAUGUGGUUUAAUUUCGAUGCAACGCGAGACCUUACCUACCCUUGACAUCUACAGAAGCCCGGAAGAGAUUCGGGUGUUGCCUUCGGGAACUGUAGACAGGUGCUGCAUGGGCUGUCGUCAGCUUCGUGUGU